rnacentral:lncRNA from 1 species
GAGGAUAUAUUAAGAAAUAGAAGGAAUAUAUUAUUUCUUCCUGGGAUAAUACAUUUUCUCCUAAAAAUUUGCAAAGGGAGGAGCCAGUUGAGUUUUGUACGUUUUAGGUAUGCCCAGGACACGGUGCCAGGUCCUUGAACCAUUUUUCAUCACUAGCAUCAUAACAAGGCACAAAGCUAGAAUUGUGGACAGUGCUUUAUUUAUCCCCCUUUUCUCUCUCUUUUGUGUAAUAAUAGUAGUAAGGUGUACUCCUC